GACCAGGUGGUUGUGUGGUCAAGGUGAUGGAAUGUUAAUCCAUUGUACCUUGGAUGCAUAGGUUUGAAUCCUAUCCUUGUCA
rnacentral:tRNA from 1 species